AACACAGCCAAAGACACAACUAGAGUUGACACAACCAAUAUUGAUUGAUCUUACCUGCUACGGGAAGUCCUUGUUCUUAAAGCCAUUGUGCAUUGAAGCCCACGAGUUCCUAGCUCCAUGACUGCUUUGUCCCCCAGACUGACCAGACUUUGCUGACGGGAGGGUGGGGAUCCGUGGUAAAACCCGGACCGGAUCUAAUUUUUGUAUACUGGAAUACACAGUCGGGGAUCGGGAGUGGAAUGACCGGAAUUCCGGGAUUAUAUGGAAUGGACUGAAAUACAAAGAAACAAACGGAAACUUGUGUUGUGUCUUGUCUGAAUAAUUGUUUCUUUAUUGUAUGUUGGUUAUU